GUAAUUUUUUUUAGGGGGUUUCUGUUUUCUGUUGGUGCCAAGGCAGGCAGUGAUCCACAAGUCAGAAUGAAAACUCAGUUCAGAUAGACUUAACCAACCUGGAUCACACUUCAUGUAGUCUGAUGCCACAUGGUCUAAUGUCAGCCUAUUUAAACACAACAUAAUUUGUAAAAAGAUUUCCAGGUAACAAUCCUUAAAGUUUCAGGUGCACACUUAAGCUUAAAUAGAAAUUCCUUUACAAAGUACAUGUGACCAUGAAGGUGUUGUUCUAUAGGUAAAAGGCCUAUAAUCUAGUUUAGUCUCUGACUGAGAUAACAUAGAGGUCAGCACACCAUGAAGUUCAUGUGACAUCUCUCCUAAAGCUAGGAACUGAAAUUUAACUAAAGAUUAAGACUCUGGGAUAGACAUACAUGGGGAGUGGGAGAGGUCUUUGUGAGGGCUGCCUCUUCAGAUAGUAAAAGGUAACUGAGUUGUUAGCAAUAUUGACUCAUAAUCUUCUGGGCAGAAGACAGGUAUUUCCUCCACUUAGGAAAGGUUCCUGAGCAUGUAACAUUACUGGUUUCCCUAGUUGUCUAUGGCUACCUGAACCUUAAUGUCCCUAGAACAUUUUGACCUCUGUAGUUCUGCUUCUGACUACUUGCUUCUGGCUACUUUUUAACCAAAGUAUCUCAGCCCAGGAUAUAUUUUUUGUGCUCACACUAAGGAAGGCUUGAGACUACACUGGGAUCCUGAAUACCAGGUGUUCAGGCUGGCUGGCUAAUAAAAACUUUAUAUUGGCUUAAACCUGUGCGUGUGUGUGUGUGUGUGUGUGUGUGUGUUUCUGUGUGUGUAUACUUUGUGUUGAGUAUUCUUGGGGAAUUCAAUUCUUCUAGCUUUAAGUUGAAUUAUUUCAAUUCCACAAGUGAAUUGGAAUGUUCACAUGGUACUUUGAUGUGAUAGAGGUGAGUAGUUCAGAAAAUAGUUCCUCAGCCCAGAUACUCAGUGGCUACUCAAUGCAACUCUUAUGUUAUUGCCUGAGACUACUAGCUAGGAAAGCAAUUACUACUGUUGAAUAUUUUCACCAUGUGCGUAUCAUACCAGCCAAUUAACAAGUUACCAUUUGACUUCAAUAGCUGUUUGUUGAGAGCCAGGCUGAUCCAAGUCUUUUUCAGAAUAAUGCCUGAUGAAAGGACAAAGGAAAAGUUAGUUCUAUGUCCUUGUUCAGGACCAGGUUUAGUCUGGGGCUACAGCCAGGGCCUUGAAGGAGUCAAGGUUAUGGUUUGGGGGUAUCUGAUUCUUCCCCCUUUGCUGUACAUUAUCAGUUCUGUGGCAGCUAUACUUGAAGUAUCCUAUGGUCUCUUUGCCAACAUUGUCUGGUUUAGCUCUCUGUUGACCUUGUCCAUUUUCUCCCUGCAAAUAGUAUGUAGGAAGCUCUGCUGCUUAAUAAAUUCGCUUCAUAGAAGCCAUUAAUCUAUGCAAAGCCUAACCUUCUUUAUUUUUCCCUUUAUCAUCUUUAUUUUUCAUCCCUGUUCCUCCCCCUCAACACCUUGCUAUUCAGGACCCUUAUUCCUGAAGGUUCAGGUCAACUUUUGGAGAACAAAAAUAAAUAAUAGUAUGGUAUAUAGUCAGAUUUUCAUUACUAAGAUUGUAUGUGUGAGAGAAGUAAAGUAGAUGAGAAUAGAAAGAAGUAUAAGAUAGUGUUUGAAAAGAAAAAAUAGAGGACAUGAACUUAGCUGUGACAAGUACACUGGCACAGAAUUUAGAGAUUAAGAUGGUGGAGAGUUCUAAUUAGGAAAUUAAGAGGGGGCUAAGGAUAAGAUGAAGAAAAACAAAGGAAUAAGAAGGGAAGUAUAUGAGACGUGGGUGAAAGUAGAGAUAGCAUUACAGUGAACGCUAUUGAGAAGCCACAGCAAUACUAAAACCUAACUGAGCUAUAGAUAGACAGAAGAUAAGCCAUCAUGAGAGGUAUGGAAGAGUUAAUAUUAAAUAACAGAAAAGACGAAAUUUAAAGAAUACUUAUGGAAGAAGUUGAUGGUGCUGCUAUACUGUCCAAACGGAGAAGUUCUCAGAUUCUAGAGUCAAAAAGAACCCACUUGGUGCUAUGUGGAAGGGGAGAAUGGAAACCACAGGUCUCUAAAGUUUCUGAGCAGUUCUGACAUGGGGAGAAGAGGAGGAUAAAAUCCUUUCCUGGUAAUUCUGAGAGGACAGAGUUAGCCAGAGACAGGCUGACUCCACGACAGCCUGCAAAGCAGCAGUUUGGGAGACGAGGCUUAGUUUCUGUUUCUCAGAACUGGAAAAGUCCAAAACAAGUCAAUUCCAGAAGAAAAAAAAAGCAAACAAACAAAACAACAACAAAAACAUCCCUCACGGGCAGCUAAUCAGGAAGCUGCCCCACCACCUAGCCUGAGCCAUCUUCAAGGGUAGCCAAUCAGGAGCUGUAGAAGCUAUCUCAUCAUCUAGCUUGAAUCCAAGUAUAGUUAAUCAGCAAAAGUCCUCAAAAUCCACCAAAGCUUUAACCAAUCACAAAGGCACUUAUAGCCCUGGAGAUAGAACCAACCAAUCAAGGGAAAGAAAGGUAGAAGUCAUCCUAAGAGGCUAUAAAUUGAUCCUGCAAAGUUGACACCCCUUUAUUCCAUCCAGAUGUAUGGUAGACCACUGCAUGCAGCUUCUAGUAUUGCUGUUGCAUACUAUUUGAGUCUGGGGUAUCAUUCUUCGCAAGUCAUGGAGCCUUACAGUUACUUUGGAGCCCUGCUUCUAUCUCACCCUCUUCUGGUCCUGCAGGUAUGGUGUCUGUAAGGAACAGCACUUACCGUGCAAUUUCUAAUGCUUUUCUCUAUUCUCUAGGCAACUUGAUUCCUCUGCAUGGUUCCAUUUAAGAAGACUACAGUCCUAAGAUUCUCAGUGUUCCCACCUGCCUACCUGUGGGGAUCUUGCCUAACUUAUUACAUUUAUUGUUUCUUGCAAGAAAAAGAACGUACUUCUUUUGCUUUUUUCUUUUAUAUUUCUUAGACUAUAUUCUCUCAUUGGGUGCCAAUGGUGAUUCUUCUAAUCUGCCUUAUUACCCAGAUGUCUCCUCUUCUGAUCCUACUUUUGCCAGAUCUUAAAAUACUCUCCCCUCAUUCAACUUAGGGUACAUAAUAACUUAAAACUGCAACCGAUCCCUAAGCAUGGCCUUCUUUGUCUUCUCUAAGAUCACUCAAUGAGGUAACAAGCAAGAGUGCGGGUGCUCAUAAGUUCAUCAGUCCAAAUGCAAUACUUUGUGUUUUCUCAAACUCAAAGCUCAUUUAUUUUUUGCCUUUCAAAAUGAAAACCCUGUCUUCAAGUCCAUAUAAUUUCAUCCCUAAUAAAGAUUCCUUCUCUUACAUUGUUUUCCUUUGUGAAUUCUUUAAUGAAUGGACCCAUGGGCUCUGGGCCAGAAGGUAGUUGCUUAGUUAAAUUAAUGUUUUAUAUGUCCUCUCAAACACUUUCUAUCAUUUUGAGCAUUACUAUCCCCAUUUAAAAAAUGAGAAAACCAAGGAACAGUAAAGACUUAUGGUUUAUAAGAUGCAAUGUCAAUAUUUAGACAUAAUUAUGAUCAUUUUUCAUCCUUUUCCUGGACUUGCAUGAUCUGGGACUUGUAUUCUCAACACAAUAAAGGGACUGAUCACGAGGUACCCACUAACCUUAUUGCAUAGUUUCUUGUCUGGAGGCUAUUUUAUUACCCCAGGAGGAGACAUCUAGACAUCUAGAGAGAAAGAGAGGGACUUUUAGCACCUAGUACUGAGAGGCCAGAGAUGACAGUAAAUGUCUUCUGAUACACACAGCUGUCUCCAGGAACAAGGAAUUAUACCACUAAAAAGUGCUAAGAUAGAGGCAGGAAAGUCUGCCUGGCAAAGUGCCUACACAGGAUGAUAGUGUAUAUUCAGCCUAGGCGACUAGGAAGCUCCAUUUGAAUGUAGCAGUACAGUUGAAAAUAAAUCAUGAAUCAAAAGAUUUAUUCUAGUUCCAGAAUGGUUGAUGAUCUUAUAAAAACAAACCUUGAUUAUCUCAACAGUAUUGCUUCUAUUUUCUAUUGACUGUGCUCCCAAUGGUGGGCAUGUGUGUGUGUGUGUGUGUGUGUGUGUGUGUGUGUGUGUGUGUCCAUGUCUGUCUGUAUGUGUGUCUGUUAUAUCAGUGUGUGUGUGUGUGUGUAUGUAUCUGUGUCUGUCUGUGUGUAUUUGUGUGUAUGUCUGUCUGUGUGUGUGUCUGUGUCUGUGUAUGUCUCUGUAUGUCUGUGUCUCUGUGUGUCUGUUUGUAUCUGUGUCUGUCCCUGUCUGUGUGGUGGUAUAUGCACAUGAGUACAGAUGCCCGUGGAUAUCAGAAGAGGACAUCAGACUGGAUACCCUGAAGCUGGAGUUACAAGUGGUUGUAAGCCAUAGUUGUCAGCACUAGGAACUAAACAUGGGUCAUUCUCAGAAGCAGUAUAGUUGCUUAAGCACUAAGUCAUUCUCCAGCCUCUUGCUUCUAUUUUCAUAGUAUCAUUACAUAUGAUUAUGCCUAUUUAUAGAGUCCAGAUACCAUAAAUGAGAAAAAAAUAUUUGAUAUUUUUCUUUCUGAGACUGACUGAGACAUUUAAUGUGAUUAAUUUCAGUUGCCUCCUUUUUUUUUAAUCUAGCCAGAGGUUUUCUAAUAAAGAAUAAUAAUACACUGUCACCCCUAAGUAGGGCAGUCAACUUCCUGGAUAGAACAAAAUUCUUUAGAAAGACUGCUUGUUCUAGAGAAAUAACAUGACGCCUUUCUAAAAUGUAGUUUGGCAUGAAGAGCCAUUUUCCCAUUGAGAGUGUACUCUACUGAACCCAACUGUGCCUUAUAUGGUCUAUAUGUCAUAUUCUAUAUCACACUGUGCUUUAUUUGAAAUAUUUACAUGAAAAUCAUAAUUAUUAGGGACUGUAGAUGAGUCUACAUUGACAACCCAUUGGCAGUUGACCUUAAAAUACCAUCACAUCAGGGAUUAGGGCUUUAUCUUAUAAAUUUGGAAGACCAACAAAAUUCUGUGCCUAGUGGGUUCUCUGAGACAUUAAAAGCUUCAUGGCCAUGGAUCUUCCACUUACCAGCCAUGUGACCUUAGGAAAUAGUUAAGUGACUUAGUUCGUUCAUUUCCUCUAUAAAGUAGUAUUGCGUCCCGCUCGACCGGCAAGAAAGACUCAACAAACCAGAAUCUUCCGCGGCAAGAGCUUUAUUGCUUGCUUCUCAGGAAGAUUCCGAACCGGGAAAAUGGCGCUGCUUUUAUAACCCGCAGCGUGACGUUUCAGCACCUGAUAUGGCGUGACAGCUUCCGAUUCGUUGCUUGCCCAUCACCCCACUAUUACACCCCGAGAAUGGGAGUGACUAGGAGUGAAUUCACUCUUGCACCUGUGUACAAGGCUUGUUUACUAGUUAGGCACAGCGGAGGGCCGCGCCAUCUUAUAAUGGCGAUUGCUCGCAGCACAUACUGGCUCUCCACAAAGUAGGUUAAUAUCUUGGCCUAUUUUAUUGUAGCAGUGAAAAGAUGCUGUAACAAAAGUAAUUUGGAGAACAUGUUUAUGUUGGCUUACAUUCAAGAUGGCAGAGAAGAUAAACCAUCUCUGGUCACAUAUGAGCAGAGAAUGAAUAUAUCCUAGUUACCUGCUUGCCCUCUCCAUUUUAUGUAUUAUAGUCCAUGAUGCACUGCCUAGUCGUGGUCCCUCCUUCAAUUAAGUUGAGUUAUCAAUGACCAUAAUCAAAAUAAUCUCCUACAGGCAUGCUCAGAGCCCCAUCUUUCUGGUAAUUAUAUUUUCUGUCAAGUUGACAAAACAACCUUCCUCUUGCCAACUUGAUAUCCAUACUGAUUGCCUUUAAUUAAAUCUUCCAUCCCUUCCACAGGCUCAUGACAAGACAUGUAAGUAUAUUCAGUCCAACUUAAAACAUUCCCAUAGGCAUUAUUGUUCAUAUACUUUCAAAAAGUUCCAGGUCUUUUAGCUAUGAAUUCCUAUAAAAUAAAAAUCAGUUAAUUCCAAUACCUAAUGGCACAGAGUUAACAGUCUCAUUCCAAAUUGAAGGUAUGAGCAUAGAAAGGGAUGGUUGGAUUAAAGCAAGACCAAAACCCACCAGAGAAGAUGUCAAAUCCUCUAGCUCCCUAACCAGCAUCUGGAGAUCAUGGUGAAAAUGGCUGAGCUCCAAAGGGCUUGGGAAGACCCACCUCUCAAGUUCAGCCAUCUUCAGCACACAUAGUCUCUCUCUUGGUCAUCUCUACUCUGUAGCGAUCUUACUGAUAGGUGUCCUUUUGUUCCAGCACAUCCAACAUCCUGGGGUCCCUAGUGAUACCUUCACUGUUGCAGGAUAUUUGAUCACACUGUGAACCCUGAGAUUGUGUUAUUUACUGGAAAAAUCUGUUUCUAGUUGUGCUCUGGUUCAUCCCCAACACACACCUGUAAUCCAAGAGCUUUCUAUUUAUUAUAAACAGGAUUGAAUUAAGUCAACCACAGGUCAAGAGGCAGAGCAAGCAGCUAGUUGACAAGCAGUGAACGGAGGGAAAAGCAUAGAGAACAAGAGGAAGUCAGAAGGAUGGCUAGAAAGACACACAGGAAGUAGAAAAGAGAGACAUUCAGUUUGAAGGGGUUUUGAGAUGGCACAGAGAGGAGAGCUUGCUUUUCCUUUAGGGAUGACACCUGCAGAGGAAGCUAGCAGGCUUUCACCCCAGCAUCUGGCUACCAAAUCUUUAUUGAUAAAAUUGAAAGACUGAGAUUUUGAUUUAGAAACAACAACAACAACAACAAAACAACCAAAAAAACGAUACUUCACAUCUUUACACAAUGACCUCCCAGGUCUCUUUGCAGGAACUCUGAUACUGCCAUGUAUUGCUUGGCCUCAGCUGCUCUCAGAAGCCAUGGAGUGAGGUCCUCCAUUCUGCAACUUCCGUACCUUUAAGAUUCGUAUCAUGUGAAUAAUGCUACCAAGUUCUGCCAGCUCAUCAUGGAGCCUGGUACAAAGCAGUUGCCUUCUGCAUGUCAGCUCUGUGGAAACUGUCCCAUAGGCAGCUACUUUUUUAUAAGGAGGCAAGCCCCUCAGUACAUUCGUUCAUAUAAAUAAAGACUGUCACAGUUAGGCACAAUCCCACUGUUACUGGAUCACGGAGUCCUGCUACCCACUGUCUUUGCUGAACCACAUUAGAAGCAGAGGUUGAUGAGCAAAAUAGGUUUAUUCAAGUCUGAGCUUGGAAAAACGGGAUAAACAUUUUUUUUAAUUCAAAGAAAAGUGUUUCCCAUUAACAAAGGUUUAUUGGCUUUUGUGGAGGACUCUGCCAGCAUCAUGGAUAGCAGAUAAACAAUCUAUCUCCACAAGGUGAGAAAUGAAACUCAGGUCAGCACUUCAGCAGGCACUGGAUCAAAACCUCCAGAGUCUGACCUCAAGGUUUAUUCUUCUUACAUAUUUAGUAAGCACAGUAAAACUUUUGAAAAAUGAUUCCGCAUGACAAUUUUUUUUUUCAACAAAGGGUUAGGCAUAGCUAUAUAGAAAUUUCCUAGCAAAGUACCUGUGACCUCUUUUUUGUUAUUAUUACAUAUUUUCUUCAUUUACAUUUCAAAUGCCAUCCUGAAGGUCCCCUAUACCCUCCCCAUGCCCUGCUCCCCAGCCCACCCACUCCCGCUUCCUGGCCCUGGCAUCCCCUUAUACUGGGGCAUAUAAUCUUCAUAAGACCAAGGGCUUCUCCUCCACCUGUGACCUCUUUUCUUUCUUUUUUAAAAUCAUACUAUUUUUAUUGAUUCUUUGGGAAUUUCACAUUAUUCACCCUGUUCACACUUGCUUCCAUGCUCUUCUAUGUCUGCCCGCCCUUUGUGUCCUCCCCAGCCAAUAUAAAAAAAAAAAAAAAAGAAAAGAAAAGAAAGGAAGGAAGGAAGGAAGGAAGGAAGGAAGAAAAGAAGAAAGAAAGGAAGAAAGAAAAAAAAGAAAGAAAGAAAAUAUAAGUUCAAUUUGUGUUAUCUAUAUACUCACUGGAGUGUGACCAAACUCUAAACAGCCCACCUCUUAAAUAGAACUGAGUCCUUUCCCUCCCACACCCAGAAACCAUCAAUUGUGGAGAACUACACUCAGCAUUCUUAUCAUACUUUUUAAGAGUUCUCUUUGAUGAUUUCUUGUUUUAACUGUUAAUUGGGGAGGGGCCAGAUUUUGGGGGCGUGGGGGUCAUCACAGAAGCCUUCCAACUGUGCAUCUGCAGUCAUUAAUAUCACAGUCAAAGUAGCUGUCUUGCUCUUUACAGUCCGUGGGAGCAUGGAGCAUGGAGCAUGGAGCAUGGAGCAUGGAGCAUGGAGCAUGGAGCAUGGAGCAUGGAGCAUGGAGCAUGGAGCAUGGAGCAUGGAGCAUGGAGCAUGGAGCAUGGAGCAUGGAGCAUGGAGCAUGGAGCAUGGAGCAUGGGCAUCCUAAUGGUUUCUGGCCUCAGCACAGACCACAAACAUGGCUGCUGGUUACAGUAGGGCCACAGACCUCAGAGGCAGCACAGGUGCCUCAUAUCAAUAUGUCUCCUGGUAGCAGCACAGCCCUCAGACAUCAGAUGGCCUCAUGCUGCACCACAGACCAUGGAUCUCCUCUUGGCAUUUGGUGGUAACAUGAACACAGACGCCAGCUACAGUUGGACUAUGGACCUGACAUGGCCCUAGGAAGUAGCAUGGGCCUGGACAUCACCAUGGCCUCCAGUAGCAGUGCCGGUCACUCAGAUCAGUAUGGCCUCCAGUGGUCCCGUGGCCCAUGGACAUCAACAUGGAUUCAGGUGGCAGCAGAGACCAUGAACAUCUACAUGACCUUUGAGGACCCCAUGGGCCAUGAAGAUCAACACAGACCCUGGCAAUGGAAUAAGUAAUUUAUCAAUUUACACCAUGUGGAUGCUGCUGGAAUAAGAUUCCAUUCACAGAUCUUAUAAGGUACCAAUGGCUGUGCAACAGCUCAUUUUCGUCAAAUAAAGACAUAAACCCAACACAGCUCGCCCAGGACUGGGAGGAAAAGGUGCUGGAACCCGGGACCCAAGCCCUGAGCGGGACCAGAGGAUCCUGCUGGCUAUUAUCUCUAUCCAGUAAGAAGAAAGUGAGCCAUGGAGUUGGAACCAUCUUCACAGGACAUGGUGUCAGAUAGCGAAGAGCAAAUAAUUCACCUGAAGAAGUGGAGAGGUUAAACAAGGCACAUCAAGUUCUCCCAUCCCAGAAAGCACCACAUCCCCAGACUCAUGUGACAUGGCCGCCUCACGGGGCAAUAGGAGGUCAUUGGAAGGAGGGUUUUCAAGACCUCAGCCAUGGUCUCCCGUACAACACAGAGAGAGGAUUUUUGUGGCUGGCAGAAUUGUGAGUUCUGGGCUAACAACAUUCCUGCAGCUGAAGGACAAUGCCUACUUGUAUGUAACACGGAAACAGGUGCUCCCUUUGUGCUGUGUGUGGAGUCAGAGAAGAACCAGGUAACCCGCUGGCAACACUGCUGAUUUUGUAAUAGAGUUUGGAGCUUCCCACACUUGGUGGGGGUAGGUACACCAUCAAGCUUCUACAUACAAGGUCAGUAGUUAAAAGGGGAAGAUGCCAACUCAUUACACAUCUCUGCCAUCAGCUUUAAACAAGCUGUGGAGUUGCUAUGGUGACAGCUGCGGGAUGGCUGUAUCUAAGUGGACUGGCGAUCAGAAGUUCCCCUUGAGUGCUUAGUGGGUAUGGGAUGUGGUAGAGGAAUCCACAGAUGUGUGAAGACAGAGUCCUGUCUAUAAUAAUAGACAAGAGGAGCCACAGAUGUGCCAUGAAGAGACAGCUGUGUAUUGUAUCACUAAAGGUGAGGCGGGAGCCAUUUGCUUGUCCAAGGGCUUUGAACAAUAAGCUAGAUAACAUAUGAGAUACACAUACACACACACACACACACACACACACACAAAGCAGAAAGAGCGGGUUUGCCCACUUCUUAGGAUAGGACAGAUUGAAGGAGGAGAAGAGCUUGGAUGUGUGGGGAAAUAGACAGACAAGACAGACUGUUAGAAUGUGAAGCUUGGUCCACCUGCUUAAGGACUGUGCCUUCUCUUAAAGCAGAGUCACAUAAACAGCUAUGGACUCUGUGGUGUUGCAUGGACCUGGUAACUUUACUUUCCCUAAAUAUCUUUAUAUUUAAUCCAUUUGGAUAAAACACCACCACUUUUUUC